AUUGAACGCUGGCGGCAGGCUUAACACAUGCAAGUCGAGCGGGGAAAGGUAGCUUGCUACCUGACCUAGCGGCGGACGGGUGAGUAAUGCUUAGGAAUCUGCCUAUUAGUGGGGGACAACAUCUCGAAAGGGAUGCUAAUACCGCAUACGUCCUACGGGAGAAAGCAGGGGACCUUCGGGCCUUGCGCUAAUAGAUGAGCCUAAGUCGGAUUAGCUAGUUGGUGGGGUAAAGGCCUACCAAGGCGACGAUCUGUAGCGGGUCUGAGAGGAUGAUCCGCCACACUGGGACUGAGACACGGCCCAGACUCCUACGGGAGGCAGCAGUGGGGAAUAUUGGACAAUGGGGGGAACCCUGAUCCAGCCAUGCCGCGUGUGUGAAGAAGGCCUUUUGGUUGAAAAGCACUUUAAGCGAGGAGGAGGCUACCGAGAUUAAUACUCUUGGAUAGUGGACGUUACUCGCAGAAUAAGCACCGGCUAACUCUGUG
rnacentral:rRNA from 1 species